rnacentral:rRNA from 1 species
AACCUCCGCAAUGUACGAAAGUGCGACGGGGGGAUCCCAAGUGUUAUGCUUAAAGGUAUGACUUUUCAUUAGUGUAAAAAGCUUUUAGAAUAAGAGCUGGGCAAGACCGGUGCCAGCCGCCGCGGUAACACCGGCAGCUCGAGUGGUAGCUGUUUUUAUUGGGCCUAAAGCGUUCGUAGCCGGUUUAAUAAGUCUUUGGUGAAAGCUUGUAGCUUAACUAUAAGAAUUGCUGGAGAUACUAUUGGACUUGAAGUCGGGAGAGGUUAGAGGUACUACCGGGGUAGGGGUGAAAUCCUAUAAUCCUGGGAGGACCACCUGUGGCGAAGGCGUCUAACUGGAACGAUCUUGACGGUGAGUAACGAAAGCCAGGGGCGCGAACCGGAUUAGAUACCCGGGUAGUCCUGGCCGUAAACGAUGUGGACUUGGUGUUGGAAUGGCUUUGAGUUGUUCCGUGCGAAGGGAAGCUGUUAAGUCCACCGCCUGGGAAGUACGGUCGCAAGAUUGAAACUUAAAGAAAUU